rnacentral:lncRNA from 1 species
UUGAUCUUUGCUUCGAGAGGGUGAAUGCUGCUGGUGACACCUAUGGUAACUGCGGCAAAGGCUUGAAUGGCAAAUACAGGAAGUGCAGCCCCAGGGAUGCCAAGUGUGGGAAGAUCCAGUGUCAGAGCACCCAGGCCAGGCCCCUGGAAUCCAACGCAGUAUCUAUUGACACCACCAUUACCUUGAACGGGAGGCGGAUCCACUGUCGGGGCACCCAUGUCUACCGGGGUCCUGAGGAGGAAGAAGGGGAGGGUGACAUGCUGGACCCAGGGCUGGUGAUGACCGGGACCAAGUGUGGCCACAACCAU